AUUGAACGCUGGCGGAAUGCUUUACACAUGCAAGUCGAACGGCAGCACGGACUUCGGUCUGGUGGCGAGUGGCGAACGGGUGAGUAAUGUAUCGGAACGUGCCCAGUCGUGGGGGAUAACGUAGUGAAAAUUACGCUAAUACCGCAUACGAUCUAUGGAUGAAAGCGGGGGAUCGCAAGACCUCGCGCGAUUGGAGCGGCCGAUGUCAGAUUAGGUAGUUGGUGGGGUAAAGGCCCACCAAGCCAACGAUCUGUAGCUGGUCUGAGAGGACGACCAGCUACACUGGAACUGAGACACGGUCCAGACUCCUACGGGAGGCAGCAGUGGGGAAUUUUGGACAAUGGGCGAAAGCCUGAUCCAGCCAUUCCGCGUGCAGGAUGAAGGCCCUCGGGUUGUAAACUGCUUUUGUACAGAACGAAAAGGUUUCUACUAAUACUGGGGGCUAAUGACGGUACCGUAAGAAUAAGCACCGGCUAACUACGUGCCAGCAGCCGCAGUAA
rnacentral:rRNA from 1 species